rnacentral:rRNA from 1 species
GACGAACGCUGGCGGCGUGCUUAACACAUGCAAGUCGAACGGAAAGGCCCUGCUUUUGUGGGGUGCUCGAGUGGCGAACGGGUGAGUAACACGUGAGUAACCUGCCCUUGACUUUGGGAUAACUUCAGGAAACGGGGGCGAAUACCGGAUAGGAGCUCCUGCUGCAUGGUGGGGGUUGGAAAGUUUCGGCGGUUGGGGAUGGACUCGCGGCUUAUCAGCUUGUUGGUGGGGUAGUGGCUUACCAAGGCUUUGACGGGUAGCCGGCCUGAGAGGGUGGCCGGCCACAUUGGGCCUGGGCUACGGCCCAGACCCCUACGGGAGGCAGCAGUGGGGAAUAUUGCACCAUGGGCGGAAGCCUGAUGCAGCAACGCCGCGUGCGGGAUGACGGCCUUCGGGUUGUAACCCGCUUUCGCCUGUGCCGAAGCGUGAGUGACGGUAAUGGGUAAAGAAGCACCGGCUAACUACGUG